rnacentral:rRNA from 1 species
AUUGAACGCUGGCGGCAUGCCUUACACAUGCAAGUCGAACGGCAGCGCGGGAGCAAUCCUGGCGGCGAGUGGCGAACGGGUGAGUAAUACAUCGGAACGUGCCCAAUCGUGGGGGAUAACGCAGCGAAAGCUGUGCUAAUACCGCAUACGAUCUACGGAUGAAAGCAGGGGAUCGCAAGACCUUGCGCGAAUGGAGCGGCCGAUGGCAGAUUAGGCAGUUGGUGAGGUAAAGGCUCACCAAGCCUUCGAUCUGUAGCUGGUCUGAGAGGACGACCAGCCACACUGGGACUGAGACACGGCCCAGACUCCUACGGGAGGCAGCAGUGGGGAAUUUUGGACAAUGGGCGAAAGCCUGAUCCAGCCAUGCCGCGUGCAGGAUGAAGGCCUUCGGGUUGUAAACUGCUUUUGUACGGAACGAAACGGUCUUUUCUAAUAAAGAAGGCUAAUGACGGUACCGUAAGAAUAAGCACCGGCUAACUACGUG